CCUGCCUCUAGAAGCAUUGCAGGGGUGGCUGCUCUGUCACUGUGCAUCAGUAGGUGGCAGAGAGAAGAGAGGCUAUGUCUACACCCAGUGUUGUGACCUAUGAACAUCUGAAUUAUUAGUAGCCUAACAUU
ensembl:snoRNA LOC120097231 small nucleolar RNA SNORA17